ACGAUUGACGGAGCGAAGCGACGUCAAAGCGUAUACAAAGUCGAGUCGGUUUAAGGAUACGUUCGUUGGGUAGGGGAGCGUUCUGUAAGCCUGUGAAGGUGGCCUGUGAGGGUUGCUGGAGGUAUCAGAAGUGCGAAUGCUGACAUAAGUAACGAUAAAGCGGGUGAAAAGCCCGCUCGCCGGAAGACCAAGGGUUCCUGUCCAACGUUAAUCGGGGCAGGGUGAGUCGACCCCUAAGGCGAGGCCGAAAGGCGUAGUCGAUGGGAAACGGGUUAAUAUUCCCGUACUUGGUGUUACUGCGAAGGGGGGACGGAGAAGGCUAUGUUGGCCGGGCGACGGUUGUCCCGGUUUAAGCGUGUAGGCUGGUUUUCCAGGCAAAUCCGGAAAAUCAAGGCUGAGGCGUGAUGACGAGGCACUACGGUGCUGAAGCAACAAAUGCCCUGCUUCCAGGAAAAGCCUCUAAGCAUCAGGUAACAUCAAAUCGUACCCCAAACCGACACAGGUGGUCAGGUAGAGAAUACCAAGGCGCUUGA
rnacentral:rRNA from 1 species